rnacentral:rRNA from 1 species
ACUAAGUGAGCUACUUUAAAAUAGCCCCAGAGCCAACCCAUCUCUGUUGCAAUAGAGUGGGAUAAUUUUUAAGUAGAGGUGAUAAACCUAUCGAACUUAGAGAUAGCUGGUUUUUUAAGAAAAGAUUUUUAGUUCAGCCCUGAGUCUUCUAUUACACAAGAAUUAAACUAAACUCAGGAGUUAUUCAAAUAAGGCACAGCUUAUUUGAAACAGGAUACAACCUAGAAAAAAGGGUAAGACAAAUUUAAUCUCUGACAAGUGGGCCUGAAAGCAGCCACCUUUUAAAAAGCGUCAAAGCUUAACAUUAAUAAUUUUCUUAAUAUCUAAAUUAAUUUCUAACCCUUAUUUACUAUUAAAAAACUCCAUAAAAUUAUGGAAGUUAUUAUGCUAGAACAAGUAACAAGAAAAAGACUUUCUCCAAAAUGUAAGCUUAAGCCACAACAGACAAACUGAUGGCAAUUAACGUUUAUGAGUCACUUGUAGUAACACCAACAGGAAAACUCUACAUGAGUUCUAACGUCA